UGACAGGAAAUAAGGCCUACAACGACUA
rnacentral:sRNA from 1 species